AACUAAAAUAGAAUAAUACUUGUGCUACAUACAUACAUAAAAAAUGGCGAUGUUAAGUUGGGCGUUCCACAUAACCUCUCCCUGGAUAAAGCUAAAUAUUUAUUAAAGUGACGUUGGACGUGUGCACAUAUUGGGUCUAAGAUAAAGCCGGACUUCGUGCUAUUUCUAUUGACCGUGAGAAUUUAGAUACUAUUGUUGGUGUGUAAGGCUGAAACAGAAGAUAUCCAAGGGCCAGGAGGGAAAGAAGCUUCUCUCUAAAGUCGAUUCCAUCAACAUAACCUUACAAAAGCUAUAGCCCUAAGCUAAUUUGCAAUAAUCGUAUAUUGAACCUAUUAGCCAGGGGAAUCCAAUAAAGAGCAUACGACCCUGUGGUUGCUGCCAUCCCCUUCUACACCCACACUUCAACGGACUGAGAAGGGGGUGUGGUCAAUGGGCGGCAUCGAAGUCUCCAUGGAAUGGCACAACACGCGAACGGCGAGCAUGCAAGAGGCAACGAUACAAAACGCUAGCGCAGCGGUGACGAAAACGCUGAAACAACAACUACAUCUACAACUGCAAAAGCCGACAGCAAGUUGAAUGACAUAAACCAUCAACUGACCUUCAACUCUGAGACUGAACCUUAGAAAAAACGAACACAUAGCCUCAUGCAAAUGGGAAUGCGAGAGUGGCGCAUGCAACUUACAGCUUUACAGCUCGUUCGUUGUGGGAAAGAGAUGUCGGGUGAGAGGAAGAGGAAAUCGCCUAAAGCACUGAGCCGUAACGAAAAUUGUUGUUGCAACCAGACCCCCGCUCUCUCUCGCACUAAUACUUCCACAGCCAGUGCACACCACCCCCCAUCCAACACACCCAUAGCCCCUGUAAUGGGCGGCAGCAGAGGAAGUCGGCGGACAAUUGCGCAUGAUACGCUCCAGAUUCUAGAGGUGGGAGAGUGAAGAGCGAUGAGUCACGACGAACUGAUCGAAAGGUGAUCCCAUAAUGAUCCAUUGAUGGUUUUACGUAGGGGCGGAAAAUGAAACCUGAAAACGGGAGAAGAUGAGACUACCAAAGUACACCCAGUGCCGAUGACGUAAAUUGCCGAUGGAUGCCGAUGAACGGAGCAUGCUCUUGCACUUGGCAGACUGCAACAGCUCUCUGCGAAGAGGACUACAACUACUAUGGAAGGUAGCAGAGCAGAGCGGCCUAUUUCUCGAUGGUUGUUUAUAUUUGGCAGCAGUGGCUGCAGUUGUAUUCUCUCUGCCAAGCUUUUUUUAAUUUUUUUUUUGUGGGUUUUAUAUUUUGAUUUUUCUUUUUUCAGGGCGUUGUACAAUUGAACAGAUAUGUACAUGAUGUUACGAAGGUUGAGGACGGGUGCGAUAGUUACAAGUAAAAUGCACAAAAUGUUCUUAAAA